CAGACAAGUGUCUCCGAGGUUAAGAAGCACUGUAACUUGAAGAUUCUUUUUAACAGCUCAAAAACGUUUCUCACCGCCUGGAGCAGGAGGAAACAAAGAAUGAAUAUGAUGCCAACAUCUUACUCAGAUCUGGUAAAGGAGAGGAAAGAAAGGGCUAAGGCAGCACAUAAAAAGAUUGAGGGAGAAUUAUUUUGACGACUGUGUGUGCAGCUGUCUACACUGCCUGAUGUGCUUGGCGGUAAAUUUACAAUCGCAGAAUGGAACAGAACAGAAUGAAACACACCUCAAAGUUGUGCAAGAUCUGGUUAAGGAGGAAAGUGAAGGACA